rnacentral:lncRNA from 1 species
GGAAAUGCUUUGUGACAUCCUAAAAUGCAUGGGACAAUUGCCACCACAGAAGAUGAUCUGGCCUCAAAUGUUUGUCAUACUGAGAUGGAGGAAGUCUGGGAGAGAGACUAGGAAAAAGCCUAGAGGUGAAAGGCAAGGUCAAAGACUCUGAUCCUCCUACGAUCAUCAGCAGGCAGUAACCGAGGGACCGUGGCCAGGCGCUGAAGUGAAUUCGGGUCCAAGGAGCCUGCUGGGACCCAGGAAAACGAGAGAAGGAACAGAAAUUGUGGUGGAGGCAAAUUCAAGGUCAGAAGAUUGGGGAGGAGGUGCUUAGAGAGGUCUGGAGAGAUGCUGGGACCCAGAACUGGGGCCUCCGUGAGAUCAGCAGGCUGCAGCUAAACUGUGGUAUCCGGACCAUGCGGCUGAUGCCCUGGGAGGGAGGCCACUUGCUUAAGUCCUCCAGGAGGGCGAUGGAGGAGCCGGCAUUCAAACCAGGCUCAUGGAUGCCAAGGUAU